CGGGGUGUAGCUCAGCUUGGUAGAGUGCUGGUAUGGGGUACCAGAGGUCGCAAGUUCAAGUCUUGUCACCCCGACCA
rnacentral:tRNA from 1 species